GUCCUUCUUUUUUUCCUAUAUAGUCCCUUUGGAUCAGGCUUUAAAGCUGACCAUCAGCUACCCAACUUCUAAGUACCCUCAGUGCACCAAGGUGCCCCCUCGAGUCUGAAGCUCUUGAGUGGAUGGAGUUGGCUCCUCACUACUUUAAUUCUCUCUCAUUUUCUGUGUCCUAGACACAGGACAGUGUCCUAGCACUGAGGGGAGUGGCAGGAGUUACAGCACCAAAACAAAGCUUGCAUCCUAUUGUGAUCACAGGCCCUGAAAAAUGUUCAGCUAUGGUUUGUCCCUUUGUUUUGGACCUGCCAAUCACACUGUGGGGCUGAGAUGCCUUGAGACAAUGGGGACUUGGUCUUACUACAAAUUUGCCUUAAUGGGCACUGAACAGCAGCUGGUCCCUACCCUAACCUGGAUGACAGAUAAACUGGUUUGGGUGGACCAGUGGCUAAUUAGAAAGGACAAGCUGCAACAUCUUCAAGCCCUUGUUCAAGAACAACUUUCAGCAGGACACAUUUGUGCUUCUACCAGUCCCUGGAAUUCCCCAGUGUUUGUGAUCCAAAAAAGAAGUGGCAAGUGGCCACUUGCCACUCUGGAACAGGGGUUUGAAUCACAUUUUCCCAGAUGCCUUAGCCACUAGCAAAUAGGUUUGCAAUGCUUCUUUGUCUGGUUCAGAGUCUGUUUUGCUAUUCAGACCAUGUUGAAAUGCCCUGGCAGGAAGAGAGCCUGGCUCUCAGUCCAGGACUAGCAGUCACCGGGUGCUCAGGGUUCUCUGCUGGUAAGGAAGAUCAUUCUCUGACUGAGAAGAAUCUGAUGAUUAUUCUGAAAUCCUCUCCCAUUGCAUCAGACAUGUGACUCCAUUGAAAAGUUCACAUCUGAGAAGACCCUGGGGAAGAAAUACAGAGGAAACAGUCCUGAUGGCUUCAGGAACACAGAAACCAAAACAAGACCUGCCAGCCUCAAACAACACCCUCUUUCUUCACAUUAGAAAUGGAAACACGUCCUCUGCAGGAAUUUUCCACUUAAUAGCUCCUGCUUUCCUACCGGGGGCCUCAGUGCACCACCACUGCAAUGCUGUAUUUCUUUCCACUGCAGUUUGACAUUUUGCAGCCAGAACAACGAACGGCAUUCACUCCAUCCUGAUUUUUGAAAAACAUAUCUCUAUAGGCCCACAGAACGCACCCAGUGCAGCAAUCACCAGGGGGAAAUGGCAAAGGUAUUUAAACAUCAUUACAUGUCACUGAGGAUAUGACAUUGUCUGGUAAUAAUGCUCUUUUAUGCAGUCGUUUUUUCUUAGUCCCCCAUUCCUCCCCCCUCCAACCCUUUAUACACACAGGCAGACACCAAAGCCUCUGCCCUGCUCUCCUAUUACCAGCCACUCUCAUGUUCUACACUUGAUUGCAAUUGUUUGCCGUUGUGAAUUAUUUCCUUUGCAUGGUAUUUGCAAACUGUGUAUCAGGUCCUGACACCGUGAAGAGCAGAAAUGCAGAUUGCAGAUAAUCUGAGCAGUAAACAAGAAGCCUGCUUUAAAAUGCGCUGAGUGACCUGUCUGAAAGCAGCAAUAUUUGCAGACUGUUUACUGCUGAGAUGCAGGGAUGUCGCUGAAAUGCAGCAGCCUGAAGACUGGAGCAAAAUGGGAUCUCAGACACUCGGUCAAGCACAACAUGUAAUUUUUUUAUUUGUUGCUUACAUUGUGCUUUUUCUAAAUUUGGAGCAGUAUUAUAAAUUAUUAAAAGCUAAUUUCCAAAAA